UCAUCCAUUGCCCAGCGACGAGUGUGAUUAUCCCCGCAGAGAACCGGGCAGGGCUGUGGGGGAGAGAAAGCGCUUCCGUGGGGCCUGCGGCAGGGAUCUUGGGUGAGGACCGGCGUCGGGGAGGCCGGUACAACUGGAAUCGCUGUUGCUGCGAGAUGCUGAAGAACCAGCUAUUAGAGUGCUGGGGGCAGCGGGUACAUAGCCCAAGGUCUGCCACAAGUAAAAGAAAAAAAGUGAAACUUGUACUACAAGAGUUGUAUUUCGAAAACUCAUGAGGAAGGACUGGCAAAGUGGUAUAUGAUAUAGUGGAGGUUAAGACUGAUGAAAUGAACACUUGUUGGUGACUUUUUGUAUUGAAUGAAAUCCGGUUAUAAUGGCAGCAGCUCUCCUUGGGCCAACAAGAUCUGAGUUAGCUCCCUUGUGUCUUGUUUAAUUUAGAGAGAAGAUACUGAUUAAAGAGCAAUGGGAAAAGGUGAAAGCAGCAGACCCACCUCCCCUUCAGGACUGUUUGCCGAGUGGAAUUUAGCCUUUUGGACUCUAUGCGCAAUUAUUGUGCCCAUUCUGUUCACCUUGUGGUGCAGUUUUCGGCGCUCUCGGAGGCAAGGGCUGGUGCAGGACAUCUUGCAUAAGAGUAAGCAUGACUGGCAUGACACGGACCUCUUUAGCCAGCCCACCUAUUGCUGUGUCUGUGCUCAGCACAUUCUUCAGGGAGCUUUCUGCAGCUGCUGCGGGGUAUGUGUGGACGAAGAGUGCCUGAAAAAGGCUGAUCGUCGUUUCCUCUGCAAGGAGAUUGUGAUGAGGGGCGAAGGUGGGAUCCGGACCUCGAUGGUACAUCACUGGAUCCGAGGCAAUGUCCCGCUCUGCAGCUACUGUGUCAUGUGCCAACAGCAAUGUGGCACCCAGCCCAAGCUUUGUGACUACAGGUGUAUUUGGUGUCAGCAAACUGUCCAUGAUGAAUGUAUGCACAAUACAUUGAAGAACGAGACGUGUGAAUUUGGAGAAUUUUGUAAUUUAAUUAUCCCGCCUUAUUACUUAUUCAAUGUUAGUCAGAUGCGUAAAGACAAACGAAUGGACUAUGGCAAGCUAGCUUCCUCCUGCAGGAACCAGUGGACUCCAUUAAUAAUCCUGGCAAAUACUCGGAGUGGAAACAAUAUGGGGGAGACUUUGCAGGGGCAAUUUAAGAUAUUACUAAACCCAAUCCAGAUUUUUGACCUGACCAAAACAACACCUGCAAAGGCACUCCAGCUUUGCACUUGGUUGCCCUGCAAUUCUGUUAGAGUACUUGUUUGUGGUGGAGACGGCACUGUGGGCUGGGUCUUGGAUGCAAUUGAUGACAUGAAGAUAAAGGGGCAAGAGCGGUAUAUCCCACAAGUUGCAAUCUUACCCCUGGGAACAGGUAAUGACUUGUCAAAUACCCUUGGCUGGGGUGCCGGCUAUGCUGGAGAAGUCCCAGUGGAGCACAUUUUGCGCAAUGUAAUGGAUGCUGAUGUAAACAAGCUGGACAGGUGGAAAGUUCAGGUAACAAACAAAGGAUACUACAAUUUAAGAAAGCCAAAGCUCUUCUCAAUGAACAACUAUUUUUCUGUAGGACCAGAUGCUCUUAUGGCUCUAAAUUUUCACGCACACCGCGAGAAGUCUCCCUCUCUCUUUUCCAGUAGAAUUAUUAACAAGGCUGUUUAUUUUUUUUAUGGAACCAAAGAUUGCCUAGUGCAGGAAUGCAAAGAUUUGAACAAAAAGGUGGAGCUAGAGCUGGAUGGAGAGAGAAUUGAUCUGCCCAGUCUUGAAGGAAUCAUAGUUCUGAAUAUUGGCUGCUGGGGAGGCGGCUGUAGACUAUGGGAAGGAAUGGGGGAUAAGCCUUAUCCUCUGGCAAGGCAUGAUGAUGGAUUGCUGGAAGUUGUUGGCGUCAAUGGCUCUUUUCACUGUGCACAGAUUCAAGUGAAACUUGCAAAUCCUGUCCGAUUGGGACAGGCCCAUACUGUGAGGUUGAUCUUGAACAGUUCAAAGAUGCCAAUGCAGGUGGAUGGAGAGCCCUGGGCACAAGGGCCUUGCACUAUUACCAUCACCCACAAGACCCAUGCGCGGAUGCUCUCUCACUCAGGUGAACAGACAGAUGAUGAUGCGUCCAGUGUAUCUGAACAAGAGCUGUCAAAGGAUCAGACAGAUGAAGACACAUAGGUCUUGGCUGGGUUUGGACAUGCUAAAUGGCAAUUCAGCUUGGCUUUUGCUGAGAAGCUUAGUGCUAAAAUAUUCUAUCUCCAAUAAACCUCUUAAUGCCAUACCACAUCUAUACAGAAAAAUGGCACAGGAGUAACAAAGCCAUGCUUCUAGUGAUUAUGGAAAGCUGACCCAGCCUUUCAGUUUCAACAAGCACUCUUGCUUUGGUUUAUAAUAUCAAGCUGAGAAGGUGGGGACCCUCAUGAGUAACAUACAGACUGUUGUUACUCAGUCUAGGUAACAUAACAUGGGAAACAUGCAGACUGUUCUGCAGACUACAUGAUUUUUUUAAACUCAGUCCUCAGAGUUUAUGUAUAUUUCUGUGGAAUAGCUGCCAGUUGUUCCUGGUUUAUAAUUGUAUAGAUCUCAUUUUGAGGGGCAUGUAAACACAUUUCAUUAUAUCAUUUGGGAUCACAUAAUGCCCAGUUUCCUAACCUCGUGAGCUUCUUUCUCCCCAUCUUUUUGCUUUUGGAGUUAAUUAUGGUAGAGCCAUGUCUUUGUUGGUCUUCUUGCCAACCAUAGUUAGCACCAAAAAUGAAGGGGAGUAGGGAAUUUGUGCGAGGAGGAACGAGCACAUGGGUGCUUUUGAUGGGGCACUGCCCCAUCUGCACCAGACCAUAACCAGCUUCACUUUCUAUAGUAGGAUUGCCAAGUUAAGUACAGUAUUACUAAAUCUCACAGCUGACUAAAAGCAAUUGCGUAUCAUCAUGGAAAUUUAUAUGCUUACCUCAGGCUUUGAAUACAGAGGUGUUUAGACCUAUAUGUUGUACACUGAACAAGGAAAGAUCUGAUAUUUGUAUAUGUGUUCUGGCUUUUGUAGAAAAGUGUUCACAGUUGACCAAUAUGAUGAUCUUACUUCCUGAUUUUUAACCCAGGGUUAAAAUAAUGUGCUUACUUUCUGGAUACAACCAUCUUUAUUAUUAUGGUAGACAAAACCUCUUGAUAUUUGAAAUAAAGCUACUUGGUGCGAUGUACAUAACCACAUUGACACCCUCCACAGUAAACAUUAUUUUCUGGAAAAUACCAACCCUGAUGACAGAAUUUGCAAAAUGCAAUAACUGAAAAGUAAUCAGCUGUCUGACAGUCCCUGUGUUUGGAUGUAAUGAGCAAUUUAUAUCUUAAAGAACUAUCAAUGAUGCAGUGAUUCUGUCCAGAUAAUUUGAAAUAAGAGAUCUAAAUGGUAUCUUACAUAUCUGUAAGAUCUCUGUAAUCUUAAGUGUGGUGAAGGUUUCUAUCUUUCUUUCUUUGUAUCUUUCUCUUUCUUUGUUUGUAUCUUUUGCUUGCUUUCUAUCUUUUCUUCUCCCACCCUCCUUGGGGCAUAUUCCAUGAGGAAUUCUGCCUAACACAAAUACUACUGAAAUAAGUUGCCCAAGGAUAAGGUUCCUGUUUGUUUCAGUGGGGUUUGUGAAGGAUGUAUUCCUAACAGAGUAUGCCCUUGGUCUUAAACACUGAAUUUGUAUUGUUGCUUUUAGAGAAAAGUCUUGGAUCCCUUUUAUGCAAGCGUUUGAAAGCAACUGUCUAGCACAGCAUCUUGUCUACUUAGAUAGUUUUCCAAAUUCUAAAACUGUAGUUUUCUGUAGCUUAAAUUUAAGACUGUUUUACUCAUCUGAGUGAUGGAAACCAUCUGUAAAAGUUUGACAAAUUGGGUCAGUUUAGGUACUGGCAAUAUAAGUUGUAGUUUGCCAUUGUCUGAAUCCUGCACACUGAAAAGCUGUGUUUGUGAUUUUAGGGGCAGACUGAAUAGAAGUGACAGGUCAGAUAUUGUCCAUUGAAGCAUGCAGUGGCCUCCCGCACACACUUGGAGGAAAGGAUAUCUACAUGCAUACUGCCCGCCGAAAAGAACUUUGCACUUGACGGUGUGGGAGAUGCAAGUGCAUACCACUGACCAGCCGUGCCUAGGGGACUUUCAGGGAGGUGAGUGUAUGAGCCAGUUGUGGUGUUUGGAAAUGGCCAUGGCAUGAGCUUCUAAUUGAUUUCCAUAUCGAUCGCUAUAACAUACGUUCUGAAGAGGAAAUGAAACCUAACAGUUUGUUCUGUGUUAGUGAUUUCAACUACAGACUCUUAAACAGAAUUCUCAUCAUUGAGAAAUGGCACCUCCCUGAAAGUACUGCAGUUCAUCAGUUAUUCCAAAAGAGGGUGCUCAGCUACUAAUGUUCUAGCUCUGGCUCAGGUGAUUUCUCCCCAUACAUGCCUAAUGCUGUCACUUACUUAUAUUACAGGCACAUUCAUAAAUGCUUGCUUUUGAAUGUUUUCUGAGCUUCCGGUUUUAUGUGCAUUUUCCUAAAAAGAACAAUACUGCAAGUCAGUUUGUAUAAAGACAUGGCUGAUCGCAGAAGUUCCUGACUUUGUUUUGAGUCUGUGUCUACUACUGUUCCUGUAGCUGAUCAGUGUCCCAAUCACAUGACCUGCCUUCCUUUUUCCUUAGGAGCCUCCAUGUGGCGACUGUUCUGUGCUUUGUGGAAAGCAUGGAUCAUAUGGAGGCUUUCCAGCAGCCUGUAGUGGCAUGGAGACCCUGUUUGAUUUAGGUGAUCCAUGUAGCUGGCUGUUCUCCAUGCCACUGUUGCUGCCUGGAUGCUGUGGUGGUGACUGUAAUGGGCAGGCUCUCAUAAUAGCAACUGCUGAGCAGCUAAGAACAAACCUAUCUCUGGACAGUGACUAAAAGUGAGCAAGAAUCUGCCAAGGAGCAGAUCACUGCCCCUUUCCUCUGGUACAAUACAGGCAAAGAUAGCAAGCAACUAGCUUCUAGCUAAAUGCUGCAAAACUCUGUGUGCACAGAGCUCCUAGGGUAUUGUAGCCAUAAUCUUUCUCGGAUGCCUCUUAUGUCACUGUGAUCUAGCUGCAUGCUUUGAACUUUGCCCACCCCAGUUACUGAAUCUAAUCGCAUUUAUACUUUUCCUUGGGUAAAAAGAGUCUUUCAAGGGUUCUCUAUCCCUGCUUUUAACUAACUUCAGCCUCCAAUUCAACCUUUUUAAACCAUAUAAAACAAUUCAAGGUUGAAGUGAUUUUAAGAGUAGGUGCUCUCAGGCUAAUAGGACUCUUACAAGCAAGUCAUUGCUUUUGGACAAUAAGAAUAACUGGGUUUACACAUUUUUACACAUGCUUUUCUGGAUUUCUUUGCUUAAAUUGAUUUGGAUUUUGUGAGAUUUUUUUUUUACUACUGAAAAAUGGUUUAAACACUGAAGUCUGACAUCCAGAUGCUGUUCAUGUCUCUUCUUUUUAAAAUAACGAUUAUGGUAUUUUAUAGGAUGCUUCCUAGUAUAGUUCUGUGAACCUAAACCAAUUAGAAAUAUAGCUCUCUUGACUGCUUUCUGAGUUCAAAUGGUCUGCAUCAACGUUAAACAUGAUCCUUUUGAUAUUAACUUGCAUUGCAUUCCUUUGUAUCUGAAUGUUGGCAUAAUGCUUCUCCUCCCUUCCCUCCUGUUAAAAUCUUAGUUAACAUAGAAUUAGACCUAAAUUUUCUACAUAGGGAAAAACUGGGGGAGAGGCAAAUAUCUAAUGCUGGAAUAGUUGAAUGUUCUGUUGUGCAGAGUAUAUCAAGUUUGUAAAAAUGAUCCACAAGUUCUAUGGAUUUUUAGAAUUACUGCAAAUUACUGGGUGUGCAGCUCACUUUGAUGAUGUUUGAGAAUUUCCAAUAUAAAGCACAACAAACUCCCUAUCCCAUAAAACAGAAUAUAUACUUGUAGGUUUAGAGGGGUGUGGGUGGGUAUAUGAGUGUACAUUUGUGGGCACACAAGUAUACACAGAUGAAGCUGCUAUAUGUGCAGGGGAGUCCAUUCAUUUUAGUGGAAGAAGCUGAUCCACAUGUGGAGUGUGUGUCUGGUGGUGGGUGGGCUUCCUUUUUUGAAACAAAUGAGGAACCUGUUGCAGGCAAGGAGUCCUUUCACGUGCACCUUGGAGCUCCUCAUGCAGAUUAUUGAAUUGGAACAGCAGUCUUUGGGAAAUGUGCUAACUCCUAGAAAUCAGAUGGUUAAAAAAUAAAAUCGUGUAGAGUGGAACUAGAUGUUGCAACAAACAUGAGAUUGCUGCUGGCAACUGUUGCCCCCUUCCGUAACAUGUAGCCCAAGUUAGCUUGUGCUGUGAACGUUGCCCUACCCGCCCCCCCCCUCUUCUGUACUCGCUGCUGCUGGUAGGCAUCUUUUCAGCAUAAUGAUACUAGGACACAUGGUGAGUUGAACUAGAUAUUGUGAGGGUUGAGGGACUUGGCCCAUGUUGCCGUUUUCAGUGGCAGCCCCGCCCCACAGGCAUCUGGUUCCUUUCUAAGAUUAAUCCUGUGAUUCAAGGGGUGGAGGCAGGAAUAAUUAGAUCUGUUUUUAGAAUGAAAAUUCUAUUUUGCUAUGUAGUUCCCUAUUGCAAAUGAUCUCUUCUUUGUUCUUCAGUGCAAGCACUGCAUCUUUCUCAGGUAUCUUUUAUAUUUCUGUUGCUUGAGGAAUUGCAUUCUAGGUUUUGUGUUCUGUCGGUAUUUUUUCUUAUACAUUCUUAAUGGGUGUCUUCAGUGUACGUUCUUCUAACUGCAGUGUGCUAUUUCUAUAAACCAAUGGAGUAGAAUUAGAGUGCUGUCUAAUUUGGGGGGUCUGUGUGUAUCCAUUGUUCUUCAGUUAGCAAAUAUAUCUAUCUGCAUGCUCAGUUUACAGUAUCAAAAAGAUCAUAAGCAUUCUACCUGUUUGUCUUGGGUGCUCUUCAGAGUAACUGGACACAGAGAUGUAUGAAAAUGGGUGAGACAUGCAAAUAGUGACCAGUUUUAGGGUGGGAAUGGGGUCAUGCCUGUGCAUUUAAUAUCUUUUAAAAUGUGAUGUGCUUGUGUAGCACAUCCAUCCACGCUACCCACAUAUACUCACAAUGUUUCCUUGCCCCCACACACAGUACAAUGGGGACAGUUGGGGUAGCUCCCAUUGUCUGUGUGAUCUGCACAGCCAGAUCUAUUAGCAUAUGUUGUUGUUGUUGUUUAUUAAUUCAAUUUCUGAUAGAUGCAUGGUGCAAGCCACCUGCCUCUAAAGAAAUAUAUAUCCCAUGGCAUGACUUGGGCAUCUUUGAAUCCUGCACUCAGACUUCCUAUGGUGUUUGGUUUAGCCAAAAGUAGACAUGGAGGGAUUGGGACCACAGCAUGGGGGAGAGGGUGUGGCAAGGACUACAGCUUUGCCCUGCACUAUAGUCCCAGUGCAGAUCACACUCCCAGCUGUUGUGUGUUUAAAUUGAACACAUCCGGAAUAAACAUAACCAUGUACACCGCCCUGAGCUCCUUGGAGAAAAAGCGGGAUAUAAAUGUGUUGUGUUUUUUUUUUAAGAAAAUGAAAAGAAUGGCAAAGAAUUCAAAAGUUUGUGUUAAAGUUUCAUCUAGUUUGGCCCCAAGUGUUCAUUUACAGUGCAGAACUGGAAGCAAGGGCAGACGCUUUGUGUUCUCAGAAAUACUGGAAUAAUGGGAAAGGUUUACUCUCCCAUGACUGUCCCGCAUUACCUUACUGUCGUGUAUGAGGAGUUCUGUUGCUGUUCUGCAAGAGCCAAUUCAAAUUGUAGGGAGGCAUGAAAUACAGAUGGCUCCGAAUGCAUUUGAAAAGGCUCCUAUAUCAAAAGCUCCCUGUAUGAGGGAAGUUAACAUAUCAGGGAAGGGCUAGGCGAGAUGCUAUUUUAUUCUGAAUCUUACUUUUGCUUCUAAACUUAAGUGCUAUAGUCCGAUCUGGUUAGAAGCAUUCUGAGAAGGUGGUAGACUCUAUAACCUGUUUGAUCAGGUAAUCUGGGAAUGCUGAACUCACAUACAGCAUCCUCCAUCAGCACACCCACAAGCCCUGCCUCCAUGCUGACAUGCUCUGAAACUUGAGGGUAUGCCAUAUGUGACUCUGUAUGCCCCAGAUACAGCCCCCUCAUGAGCUUCAUUCAGUUGUUACUGUAUCAGCAAAAUAUGGUGGGUAAUCUUAAAUUUAAGAUGGUUACUUGCGUACCGGAAGACAUCUUUGCAGAGGAUCAGUAGACAGGGAACAAUUCCCUCCAGGAACAUGUGGCUCACCACUAGGUUCUUGGCCCUGCUGGGGUUAUGUAGAGGUCACUGCUAGUUUCUUAGUUUUAGUGAGAUUACCUCACAUAGUUGGUGUAUCCAUGAAGUCCACACGAUCCCAGUCAUUAGACGUGCCAGGCAUCUAAUCCCACACAACCCAUUGUGCUUCGAACUCAAUAUGAAUCUUUUUGUUUCUGGUUUAAUUGCAGUGGGGAAAUCUUUUUCUUUUUCCCCUGUCAAUGCAAGUGGCUCAGGACCUGCCUUUGUGCCCCACUUGAAUUGAGUGUUCUCUUCCUUUUUAAAAAAAUGAUGAUUGGAAGCCAUGUCAGAAUCUUGUUAAGCCAUUUAAAAACCUUCCCACUCCCAUGCCUUCCCACUUCCAUAGUUCCAUUUUGGGAUCUGCCCUGCCCAGUUUCGCACAAUAGAAAUAUCUUGUCAGUUGGGUUCUUGAACACACAGAAUUGGAGGACCUGGGGCGCCAUCCUCAGCUGAUGUUAGAUGACAAGUCUUGUGCAUAAAACUCCCCCUCUCUGGUAGCUCCUAGCUGUAGUUUAGUUCUGUCCUUCAAAAGUUUAAGUACGCUUUCUCCUCCUGUGUGCUAUAGUUAACAUUCUGAGGCUACUGCUAUAGUUUUGUGUAUUUUCCUAGUAAGGAAAGGGCAGCUGUGUCUUGAUAUCAAGUGGCUCUAUUCUGUAUCUUUUGUUCACAUUUCUCAUUGUGCCCUCUGCUAUUGACUUCUGGAAGCUACUUUCCAUUAAAAGGUUUGACCAUGUGGCAGUGCUUCUUGUUCCCUGCCCUGCAACCAGUCACUCUCCCAUUAGAAAACAUCCUUUGUUUGCUAUAAAUCAUUGGCUACUUGAAUCCAUACCCUUUGCCUGCCUGCUUUUAAAUAUUCAGCAGUUGUACAUGUGGAACAACAUAACCCCUGGUCAGCACUUAGUUUUCCUAGGGUGCCACUUUGAGAAAUGCCAGAAAUAUACACUGUAUGUACCUAGAUCUAGGACUUGGGUUUUCCCCCCCCCAAGUUCUGUGAUGUUAGAAAUUUGCUGGGGGGGACCGGGAUGUCUUCAAUUCAGAUUCCUCCUCCUUUCAGGUAGAUACAGGUAUAACCUAUAUUUAAUCUCUUUUUUUUAAGUGGGUCGUUUUAAAUUCAGAAUUGUCUUCUGUUUCAAUAAAUACAGUAAAUGCUAAGUAUUAUACUUCAGAGUAACAAAUGUAAACAGAAUUUUAAUUAGGUACUGCAUUUGUACUGUUGUUGCUGGUCUAUGACCAAAAUAAAGUUAUCGAUUGAUUAAUUAGCACAACUUCAAAUCCAACAGCAGUCACAAUAAGACUUAAGAAUUGCUCCACUGACUUCAGUUUUUAUGUCUUUUCUUUUUACCCCCUACUUUCUUUCAAAACUUUGUAGUGAAAACGUCCUGGAAGGAAACCUUUUAAAGAAUGUUUACUACUUUUUUUUUAAACUACUCUUUAAAAAACAAAAACAAAAAAACCCCACCCUAUUUUCAUACUUUUGAGACUUGUAAUUGAGUUUCCGAAUGUUGCACUCAGGCACUGUUUUUCUUUGUGUACAUUUAGAUUGAAGAAAAUGUCUGUGGAUUUGAAUCCAUGUUUGUGCUUUUGGUGAGAGACCAAAUUGAAUGUCUGUUUCCAUAAGCUGUAAUAAAAUAAGCUUGGCACCUAA